CCCAAAAUAAGUUUUGCACUAUUCAUCUCCAACGUUUGACCGUUUGUCUUAUUUGAAAAUUUUUUAUGAUUAUUAUUUUUAUUGUUAUUAGAUGAUAAAACAUGAAUAAUACUUUAUGUGUGACUAAUUUUUUUAAAAAAAAUUAUAAAUUUUUCAAAUAAGAUGGACGGUCAAACAUUGGACAUGGAUUUUCACAGCUGCAUUUAUU
rnacentral:pre_miRNA from 1 species